rnacentral:SRP_RNA from 1 species
UGCCGGGUCCCACGCGGCGAACGCUCGCGAACCAGGUCAGGUCCGGAAGGAAGCAGCCUUAAGUGAUGUCGUUCGGGCGCCGUGGGCAAGCCUGGCCCGA